UGGGGAAUAUUGCGCAAUGGGGGCAACCCUGACGCAGCCAUGCCGCGUGUGUGAAGAAGGCCUUCGGGUUGUAAAGCACUUUCAGCGGGGAGGAAAGGGUGCAUUUUAAUAGAGUGUAUCUGUGACGUUACCCGCAGAAGAAGCACCGGCUAAUUCAGUGCCAGCAGCCGCGGUAAUACUGAAGGUGCAAGCGUUAAUCGGAAUUACUGGGCGUAAAGCGCGCGUAGGCGGCGUGGUCAGUGAGGUGUGAAAUCCCCGGGCUCAACCUGGGAACUGCAUCUCAUACUGCCAUGCUAGAGUAUGGGAGAGGGUUGUGGAAUUCCACGUGUAGCGGUGAAAUGCGUAGAUAUGUGGAGGAACAUCAGUGGCGAAGGCGGCAGCCUGGCCCAAUACUGACGCUGAGGUGCGAAAGCGUGGGGAGCAAACAGGAUUAGAUACCCCCGUAGUCC
rnacentral:rRNA from 1 species